CUUUCGAAUAAUCGGGCACCAAUU
rnacentral:siRNA from 1 species